GCUCUCCUCGCCAAUCGGAUACAACCUCCCAUGGCGUCUCUCUGCUCCAGCUCGAGCUCAACGCCCCGACAGUUGGUCAACUUCCCUUGCCGCCGCCCCACCUACACACGCCCGGAACAGGAGAUGUAUUUAGGAGACGAGGUGGAAGACAAGAUGUGUUGUGGAUUCCUUUACCGUGCACACAACCACAUACUCCAGCGCUUCUCGCCGCCACGCCGGAGGGCUGCGCCUCGCCUUGACGGCGAGCGCGCCAUGGAUGCUUCUCCCAGCCCUCCAAACGCCCGGACUAGAUGCCGUCCGUCUCUGCCCCUUCUCCGAACGCCCCAAGGAAGUCCAUCUCGAGGUCCAGCCCAAGCACAACCUUCUCCUCCAGCUAGAUGUGGCCUGAGAUCUCUGCCGGAGCUUGCAGCGCGGUUGUCUCUGUCGGGGCGGCUCCAAUGUUCAGCUCGGAUGGAUGACAAUGGGCGUGUCAAAAUUAAGUGCAAGCUAGUCUGAAAUUCUGAUUAAGCAGCUUCACGCAACAAGGCCCUGGUGGCGGUCUAAUAUCUGAUAGAAAAUGGUGGUCUAAGAUCUGCACCACAAGGCCCUGGUGGCGGCAUGCAACAGCCUAAGUUUCCAGGGAAUUGAGAAGGUGUAUUAACUGAUCUGCAAUGAUGCUGUCCCUCUAAUCCGUAAUGUGUUUGUUUAGCUUCUGAACAUGUGGAAGGCGAGGAAGGAAACGAAAAUGCUGCGGUUGAUAAUGUAGUUCCAGACCCUAAUGUACCAGCAGGCAUGGAGGUGGAGGAUUGACGGUUAUUUGUCACUUUGUCAAGUUGUUUUUAUUCUGCUUGUCUGGAUUGCAAUCUGGAUAAGUUCCGAUAUUGUUUGAUAUUGUUUAAAUUGCUGAUGUCGAUGUGACAGAGGAACCAGUGGUGCAAUGGUGUGUAGCAAGGCAAAUGAUUGACAUAUAAAUAUCUAAUAAUUUCGGUACAAAAUUCGCAGCUAUGUGCGCCGAAGAAAUUAUUACCGAGGCUUUGUACCACUGGUUGAGCAGAAGGCUACUCAUUUGAUUGAAGAAACAAAUGAAGAUGUUGAGACAAAAGUGCAAGAAUAUGUUGCCCCUGUUGAGGGAGUCGGCGAAGCUAGAGGCGGGUCAAGGUACAUAAAGAGCACAAGACACUUCAGGAAGGGUAACUGUACUUGCGGCAACAACAAAAUCAGGGUGAUAUGGAUGAAGGAAAAGAUCAGAGCAGCGACUGUUUAAAAAUUUCAUGGGAGGAAGCUGAUUUUGCAUCUACGGAAAUCAUAGAGAAGGCGAUGGAGUCAUCGUCGAGCUUGGCAGCACCUCUCCGCGUGGAGGAAGCCCGAAGUAGGCCAGGAGGCCCCGACCGUCCAUGACCGUCCAUGCGAGAAAGCCCGAAGCUCUCUCACGUGCGCCUCCACCAGAUCGCGUUCUCUCCCUGGAUCCAAUUGCGCCGCCGCCACUACCACCCACCUCGCUGGACAACCAUCCCCUCCCACGGCCAGCAGGUCCUCCGAAGCUCAUGAGCUGCUUGUCCGCUUCCACUCCUCCCUGGACUACUCUGUGAAGUCUGAUGGUUCCGGCGGCUCGUUGGCCUGGAUUUGGCCUACCAUCAUGACAGACGCCACAGAUUGGAUUUGGAAGGUCAUUGACAUUGGGAAUUACAAUUUUGUGCCUAACUGAGGUCUUGUGUGUCAACUACCUAGCUAGGUUCCUCAUUGUCUAUGAACUUCAUGAAGGUGAAGCUUGGAUGAUUUAGCUCUUGGCACUGGCCUGCUUGUCUCAGGCUUCAAACAUGUAGGAGACUUAUGUGCCACUUCUGUACAUGCAGAUCAGCCAUGACGGCCAGUAAAACAGAUGAAGGUGUGAUGGGACUUGCAUGUUGAGUGGUUGACUCCAAUUUCAGCACGAGGAUGUGUGAGUCCUGAUGUGCCUGCAUGUGCUGCAUUGGGUAUCCUUAGGUUGGUGCUGGUUAUUUUUAUAGACGUAUGCAAGUCAUUCUUUCUAAUGAAAAUCGCUACGCUUAAUGUCUUUGAUGCAAGUUGAUCGGAUGUAUUUUCAAAGCGGUGAAGCAGGCCUGUAAAUUUACCAAAGAACAUCUUCUUAAAAAUGGACCAACUCUGGAGAUUAGUUGAUGCUCUGCUUCAACACAGUUGGUUUUGCUACUGGUACGACCUGAUCCAGUUCGUGAAUCUACUGAAGCUUCUCAUCGCCACCCCAUGCGAGAUCUUAUCGUCCUGCGCCAUCUAUGGGCGAGUCUCUACCUCUGGUGUGAUGCCAUCCGUAACCCCCUCUCCUGCACCGAGGGUCUCGGUACUGCACAGCUCACAGCCACUGCCAGCUAGCUUCAUAUGUCCUGUUAUCUAAUGUAAAAUAUGAAGUUAUGGCACAUGCUAAUGGAAAGAAGUUACUACCAGGAAAGUUUUGCUACCUGCUAAAUAAAAUACACGCAUGGUGUAUACUAUUCGGCCAAUAUACACCCAUUGAAACUUGGAGAUCAUGUAACAGCCUCCGCUCCAUUUCCCUCUCAUUUUUAAUGGGAAAACCCCGAAGGCCUCCUCCCUGUUUUUGUGUCUACAUGCACUGUCAUUACACCUUCUGAAGGUCCACAGAUUUGAAUGUUGACAACAAGCUCUAGGUUUCCACUUCCCGUGGUGCAAGAUGUAAAAUGACAGCUUUUAGUUUCUUAAUAGAGAUGAUAUUUGUAUUUGCUCAUAAAGAUCUUUUUUGACUCUGCUUCACUUUGAUCCUAUUUCUGCUUGUAUAUGUACAGUUACACGCCAUGGCUGUGGCCAAUGUCUAUUUGUGGUAGAAGAAUGAA